UACCUCUGGAAAUGGGCAAAGAGAUACCUUGUUGGUGCUGUUCUUAAAUCAGUCAGGGGCAGAGCAGAUGGCAGUCCUUCGUUCAUCCUAGCCGGAUGCCUGGUUUGGUGGUUAAAGCUGUCUUAAACCUAGGACUCAUAA